ensembl:lncRNA
CUCCAGAGGACACAAUGUUCACCCCUCGGUCAGAGAUGCACAAGAAAAACUGCUAUGUCAUGCAUUAAAAAAAACUGGGGUUCUCCACACUCUGUUUAGUAUUACAAGAGCUCUGUUAUGAAACCUAGUGAGCCGUGUUGCUGUCUACUACUGCCUACACUGACAUUAAGACAGCAUGCUAAUUAAAUGAUUUGAAACACUCUACACUGGAAAAAUGUGGAUGAGCUCAGAUUGCUCUUGAUUUCUUUACUUUCAGUUGAUGUAAUUGUCUAAAAUGUGCAGUCUACUCGAUUAUCUGAAGAACUGAAUCUUCGAUUGCCUGAGGGUAAGUACAUUUUCAGAUUUUUAUUUUUGGGUGAAACAUUCCAUUAAAAUGUUGCCAAUGUAGACAGCUCACAAAAUUUCGGAACAGAGCCAAGAAGUUCAUGAAUGCAUAGAUAUUAUACAGUCAAUUGAGUUCAGCCACCAAUCAGACUCAUAAUCUCUUCACCAGAACGCUGUACGCAGAGUAAAUGUUUGUAUGUGAAUCAGUUGUUUGUCCUGGCCGGAUAAAAUAUGUUGCAUAUUUAUUUUUUUCUCCCAUGGACCCUUAACAACACACUAUGCACUGCGGGAUCAUCAGAUGAUUAUCAUGUGUCGCCAAGCUUGACGGUCUCUUGAACGUUUGGGUCGUGGACUCAUCAUUCACGGGUUCACAUGUAGUCCGAAGCCUGCCGCCUCCUGCUGUGAGGUUCUGAAGACGAGACGUCCUGUUUGUUUUUCCACAUCAAGAGAGCUCUUCAGUCGGAAGUCACUCAGAGAACCAGAGGAACUUCCAUGUAAACAUUCAAGUUGUGACCACCAUCAAAUGCAGAGAAGAAGAGAUUAUGCUGAUAUAUCAGCCACUUGAUCUGUCAGACAUUACGGAGCGAGAGGUUAACGGAGGUCAAAAUCCUUCUCCCAAACCAGGAUAUUAAAGUAUGUGAUUAGGAAGCAAAAAAGGAGAAUGGAAACAUGAGGAAGAGCAACUGAAUGAUGGAUGGGAAAAGAAAAAGGUUGUGUUUGAAUAGUAUACUAUCAUAGUACUUAUAUCUACUUCUACUGAUUCUCCAGUAUAUACAGUUUAAAAUUAUUGAUUCUCUUUAUCCAUUUUAAUUUCAAAGCUGAUAUAGAUACUAAUUUGCAAAAACUUAAUCUAUCUAUCAAUCUAUCUAUCUAUCAAUCUAUCUAUCUAUCUAUCUAUCUAUCUAUCUAUCUAUCUAUAUACAUUAUAUAUAUAAAAUAGCACUAAUAUUAUUGUAUCUUUUCUACUUUUAGUUUUUUUUGCACCAAAUUGAUUUAAAAAUUAAAAAU